rnacentral:rRNA from 1 species
UACAGAGGUCUCAAGCGUUGUUCGGAUUCAUUGGGCGUAAAGGGUGCGUAGGCGGCGCGGUAAGUCGGGUGUGAAAUCUCGGAGCUUAACUCCGAAACUGCAUUCGAUACUGCCGUGCUUGAGGACUGGAGAGGAGACUGGAAUUUACGGUGUAGCGGUGAAAUGCGUAGAUAUCGUAAGGAAGACCAGUGGCGAAGGCGGGUCUCUGGACAGCAACUGACGCUGAGGCACGAAGGCCAGGGGAGCAAACGGG